AACGCACCUUGCGCCCCUUGGCAUUCCGAGGGGCACGCCCGUUUGAGCGCCGUGAACAUCGUCAACCCCUCCCUGCCCUCGCCGGCACGGUCGGGCUUGGACUUGGACGUUGCCGGGGACCCAUCCUUGGGUGCUCGGCUCGUCUCGAAUGCAUCAGCGGUCGCUCCUUAGGUCGGUCGAACCUUUUCGGCGUGAUGGGUCCAACGGACGAAGCGCCCGGGAGUCGGUGUUCGUGUGGCCUUUGGAACGAACCGCUUCCAACACGUCCUCGGGACAGCCGCGUGCGGCUACCUUUGUCGUAUGGCCUCAAAUCGGGCGGGACUACCCGCCGAACUUAA
rnacentral:misc_RNA from 1 species